UACGAAGGGGGCUAGCGUUGUUCGGAUUUACUGGGCGUAAAGCGCACGUAGGCGGAUUGUUAAGUCAGGGGUGAAAUCCUGGAGCUCAACUCCAGAACUGCCUUUGAUACUGAGAAGCUUGAGUCCGGGAGAGGUGAGUGGAACUGCGAGUGUAGAGGUGAAAUUCGUAGAUAUUCGCAAGAACACCAGUGGCGAAGGCGGCUCACUGGCCCGGUACUGACGCUGAGGUGCGAAAGCGUGGGGAGCAAACAGG
rnacentral:rRNA from 1 species